rnacentral:rRNA from 1 species
CCUAGGGGGGCAGCAGUGAGGAAUAUUGGUCAAUGGGCGCGAGCCUGAACCAGCCAAGUAGCGUGAAGGAUGACUGCCCUACGGGUUGUAAACCUCUUUUGUCGGGGAGCAAAGAGAGUCACGUGUGGCUCAUUGAGAGUACCCGAAGAAAAAGCAUCGGCUAACUCCGUGCCAGCAGCCGCGGUAAUACGGAGGAUGCGAGCGUUAUCCGGAUUUAUUGGGUUUAAAGGGUGCGCAGGCGGAGGUGCAAGUCAGUGGUCAAAUGCAGGGGCUCAACCCCGUACUGCCGUGGAACCUGCAUCCCUUGAGUGCGCGAGAAGUAUGCGGAAUGCGUGGUGUAGCGGUGAAAUGCAUAGAUAUCACGCAGAACUCCGAUUGCGAAGGCAGCAUACCGGCGCGCAACUGACGCUCAUGCACGAAAGCGUGGGUAUCGAACAGGAUUAGAUACCCUUGUAGUC